GUUGACACCAAAAAAGAUGAGAAGGGAAAUAUAAUUUAACACACAAGGAAGAUUUUUCAUUUUACCAAACAAGGUAACUAUUCAAGAAAGUGACAGAGUGGUUUUUAUAUGCUGGCAUCAAUUGAAAGAUAAAUAUAAUUUCUCAAUGAUACAUAUUUACUGAAGGUCAAAUUCAUAUUACUUCAUAGUUCACAGUACAAAAUCUCAUAAUUAUAAUAAUAUUGUGAGACAUUUUAUAUAAUCUGAGCAUCUACAUCACUUGGAUACCAAAUAAAUAAUGUCAUAUCAUUAUCAAAAUAAAAUCAUCAGCUGAAAUGUGUCCUCGGAAAAUGUAAUGUCAUCAUAUCAUUAUAUACUAGAAAAUCCACAAAAAAUGUACGUCUGUUUAUUCAAGCCUAACAGAUAAGGUUACAAGCAGAAUACAACAAUAGCGAGUCUCUAAAUUGCUGAUGAUAUUUAUGAAUUAGUUAUCCUAGUGCAGCGGCCUCAUAGUUCAAUAACCCAGUCCUAACUGUAGAAUUAUGAAUGAGAGCUUUAGUAGAAGGCAUUUUUAUUUACAUAAUGUUCACGAAUAAAACCGAAAAGGUUAUAGAAAUAAAUUACCUCAGCAAGAAGGUUCUCAGCAUCAGAGAAGUCGUCCUUUUCCCUCUUUAGGAGUUCAAGAUGAGCACUGAAAUCAUGCUUCUGUUUUUCUGCCUGGUAAAGAUACCUUGGGGAGAUGAAGUCAUUGGCCAGGAGUUCUUUCGUUCAUUGGGUAAUAAACAAACAGAAGAAAGGUCAGAUCAAGUUUCACAAAAUUACAGGCUGCCUCAGAUUUAGGUAAUGCACAGAGGUAGAAGCAAUUUAAAGCAGUUAGAAGGCAUGAAAUGCACAAUAACUGCUGCCAAGAAGCUUUUUGAAAAAUCUCAUGGACAAACAGUUGGCCAUUUUAAGUAACAAAACCAUCAAGUUUUGCUGGUUUGCAACCACAGGCCAAUUUCAUA
rnacentral:lncRNA from 1 species